rnacentral:rRNA from 1 species
AUUGAACGCUGGCGGCAUGCUUUACACAUGCAAGUCGAGCGGAGCGGCGCACGGGUGUGUAAUGCCUGGGAAUCUGCCUGGUAGUUGGGGAUAACGUCCGGAAACGGGCGCUAAUACCGCAUACUAUCAGAUGAGCCUAGGUCGGAUUAGCUAGUUGGUGGGGUAAAGGCCUACCAAGGCGACGAUCCGUAACUGGUCUGAGAGGAUGAUCGGUCACACUGGAGCUGAGACACGGUCCAGACUCCUACGGGAGGCAGCAGUGGGGAAUAUUGGACAAUGGGGGAGAGCCUGAUCCAGCCAUGCCGCGUGUGUGAAGAAGGUCUUCGGAUUGUAAAGCACUUUAAGUUGGGAGGCGUUACCAGCAGAAUAAGCACCGGCUAACUUCGUGCCAGCAGCCGCGGUAAUUC